UUCUAUGGUCAUGCCACCCUGAGCAUGCCCGAUCUCGUCUGAUCUCAGAAGCUAAGAAGGGUCAGGCCUGGUUAGUACUUGGAUGGGAGACCACCUAGGAAUACCAGGUGCUGUAGGCG
rnacentral:rRNA from 1 species